GAGAAUGUAGCUCAGUUGGUAGAGUGCUUGCCUAGCAUGCAUGAGGUCCUGGGUUCAACUCCCAGCAUUACAUCA